UCUUCUUUCCAUGUUUGUUUUCCAUUUUCAAAUAUUUUUAAUAAUGCUCUUUUAUUUUUGGCAUAUGCAACAAGGUUUCUCUUGAUAGUUCCUCAAAUGUUGUCCCUCCUACCACAGCCAAAUCAGAGGCUGAAGCAGUAGCCAAACCUUCAUCUGGAGACUGGAGUCUCCGCAUCUCAAGAAUCUAUCUCUCGCUUAUUACUCAAGUUGCAAGUCUUACCAAUUAAAGCAGCAUGACUGUGAAGUAACAAUCAGGAAGAGGGAGGCUAUGUCUCAAGUCUCAACCACAGCCUCCUGCUCAGCCUGCCAUGUACUAUCAAAAUUUAUGGUUGUUAUGUUUGGUGCGGUUAAAGAUGGCUUUUGCUUUGGUGACGACUCGGCUGAGGAUGGAGCGGCGCUUGCACUUACGGAGCAGGGAGAGAGCGCAGUCAAGGUUCUUGGAGGCUUCUGCAGUGACACGGCGAAAGUGUCGCUCGUAGAGAGGGGGACGCCACUACCGCCAUCUCUCCUACUGACAUUAGUGAGGCCAAAUGAACGCAAAGGUAUUUUUCUGGCUGAAAUUGAAGGAGCUGAGCAAAAAUCUGAUUCAGGCUGAAAAAGGACUACUGAUGCUG